ACGAACGCUGGCGGCGUGCUUAACACAUGCAAGUCGAACGGAAAGGCCCUGCUUUUGUGGGAUGCUCGAGUGGCGAACGGGUGAGUAACACGUGAGUAACCUGCCCUUGACUUUGGGAUAACUUCAGGAAACUGGGGCUAAUACCGGAUAGGAGCUCCUGCUGCAUGGUGGGGGUUGGAAAGUUUCGGCGGUUGGGGAUGGACUCGCGGCUUAUCAGCUUGUUGGUGGGGUAGUGGCUUACCAAGGCUUUGACGGGUAGCCGGCCUGAGAGGGUGACCGGCCACAUUGGGACUGAGAUACGGCCCAGACUCCUACGGGAGGCAGCAGUGGGGAAUAUUGCACAAUGGGCGGAAGCCUGAUGCAGCAACGCCGCGUGCGGGAUGACGGCCUUCGGGUUGUAAACCGCUUUCGCCUGUGACGAAGCGUGAGUGACGGUAAUGGGUAAAGAGGCACCGGCUAACUACGUG
rnacentral:rRNA from 1 species